GACGAACGCUGGCGGCGUGCUUAACACAUGCAAGUCGAACGGUGAAGCGCCAUCCUUUUUGGUGGGUGUGGAUGAGUGGCGAACGGGUGAGUAACACGUGAGUAACCUGCCCCAUUCUUAUGGAUACCCGCAUGAAAGUGUGGAUAAUACGGGAUAUUCUGGGUCUGUCGCAUGAUGGGUCUGGGAAAGAUAUUGUUUCGGUGGGGGAUGGGCUCGCGGCCUAUCAGCUUGUUGGUGGGGUGAUGGCCUACCAAGGCGGUGACUGGUAGCCGGCCUGAGAGGGUGGGUGUGCACACUGGUGCUGAGAUACGUGCUCUACUCCUAUUUCCGGCAGCAGGGGGGAAUAUUGCACAAUGGGUGCAAGCCUGAUGCAGCGACGCCGCGUCAGGGCUCCAGCCUCUUGGGUUUUGAACCUCUUUCGCCAUUCAAGCCGGCCUGCCUCGUUUGUGGGUGGGUUGACGGUAGCUGGAUAAGAAGCGCCGGCUAACUACGUG
rnacentral:rRNA from 1 species